UUUCGGGGGUUUUUAACGUAAAAAAAAUAAAAUACAAAAAUUCAUAGCAUCAAAACAUAUUUUUAUAUGAAGUUCAUUUUCAGUUUUUAAAAAUAGUAGAAAUAAUUAGUAAAUAGUGGAAAUACAUAGAUGACAGAAUCACAAAUUGUUAUAAAAUUCUUGAUAAAAGCGUGGAAUCAAGUUCUUUUUAAUUAAUUCGUUGAUAUCUUGACUUUUAUUAUUAGGAAUUCCGAUUUUGGAGUGGUAGGCUUUUUGUAAAUCAAUCGGUGUGCUAUGUUUCUUCUUGGAUUUGAUUAAAGGGUCUUCCCUGAACUUCUCCUCAGCGUAUGAUGUCAAAGAAAUCUCCAUAAGACAUUUCUUGCACUAAGAAUGGCUGGCCUGUUUUCUUUGCUGAUCGAAUUGUAGUAAUGAAUGAGUCAGUGGUGUAUACUGGCCCACUUUUAAGCAUUCGUUUAGUUGCUCUCUCAAUAAGGGAAUGUGCUGAGUCACCUUCAUUUUGGGUAUGGCCUUUGAAGAGGUACUUGUGGGUGAUAGACUUUAUAUCCAAGUAGCGAACGGCGUAUAGAUACAAGGCAAACAUGAACUUGUUUUUCUGUUGUCCAGCACAAUUAUCAGAAUAAAAUAUUAUUUCAUCUUCAUUAGUCUUUGCCAAACUUUUAAUAUACUCAAAAACGCAUGUUCCUAAUUCAUUAACCCCACGCUUUGCAUUGGCUUCGUCCCAAACAAAACAUUGACAUUUGUUUGUUUUAUAUCAAAUAUGGUGAAAUUGAACACAUUUACUUUAGAUUUAUAAUAGAAGGCAGACACUUUGCCCUUUGGUAAUUGCAUGACUGCUUGCAAAUCAUACACUGCCUCAACUGCAUUUUGACUUUUCUUGUCCUUACUUUUCUCUUGUCGCGACAAACUUUUUUCACGCAAGUGAUUUUCAUAUACGGCUUUGUUGUUAGAUUUUUCUUCGACCGUCAUAUUAGUAUAGGCUUCGCAUUGCUCACAUAGGUCUUUUUUGGGAAAAAAAAGGAAAUAUUAAAGUUUUCCGUAAAUGAUCUAUAAAACGAAAUAUAUGUGCAAAAGGGCUGUUUUCUUUCUUUGCAUAUAUCUAUGUACAUAGUCGCGAUAAAGGCUUGAUAUUGUUUUGCUUCCUUCAAUAAACGUUUUAGAUGUACUUGCUCUCGUAUAAUGGCUUUCGAUUUUCGGUAUUGUUUCAAUAAACGCCCUUAUUCCAUCUGCCAUAUUCUUGUCAAGUUUUUUGUGCUUUCCGUGUUUGCCUCUUUGAUCCG